ACCUAGACAUGAACAGGAACGGUGGAAGAAGCUCUUAGUCAACACAUUAGACAGGUGGAACUCAAACAAGAGGUUACAUUCUUCAAAGCAGCAAUGAUGAGCAGCAGCCGAGAACUCUUUGGGCAAUGGCUGGAUGAAGUGGGGUUCCCUUUCUUUCCUUCCCUCCUAUCCAAACUAUUCUUUUCUUCCUCCACUGGAGACACUCAAAGCAGAAAGCAGAAAAACUGCACAGAAAGUGGCGAAAAGCCUGAACAAGACGUUGAUGAACCAUCACCAUGGUGAAAUAAAACCCAGCAAAGACUAAGUGGACUCUUUCUUUUAUCUUUCUUUCCUCAAUUCAUACUAGUUAAACUUAAGUUAAUGAAGAUUUAUGUAGCCAUUUAAUUAGCUUUUUAAUUAGAUUUUAAAAUGUUACUACUUUUAAAAAUAUAUAAUUUUUAUAAAAUGUUAAAUAUACAUUAAUAUAAUAUACUUCAUAAUAAAUUAUUAUUAUUAUUAUUAUUUACAUUGUUUAAACGACCCAGACUUGUGUUUAUUUAUUCAGAUGCCACAUGAUAACAUUAGAGAGAUCAGUGGAUUCUUCCAGAACCUAAAUCUGGAAGAAGAAGAAGAAAUGGAAGUGGAUGAGGAUGUAGAGAAGAUGGAUGUGGAUAUGCUGGAUGAGGUAAUGAUGGCCUAUAAUUUAAUAAAUAGGCCUAUAAUUUGCAUGGUAUACUUCUGUUGUGGUCACAUGCAAUUUCAAGGCAGGUUGAAAUGCACCUUUACAUGUUGUUGAUGAAUUAUUUUUUUCAUAAGCAGGCCAGGAAUUUCACGGGGGCCACGAGGGCGCUAUUUUGCGAUUUUGUAGUCUGCCUCGUGACGUUACCAGGCCCGCCCACUUCUUUACGCUGAAUUUUUGCGGAAGAAGGGAAGAAGUUGACUGAGCUUUAAGCGUAAGGUCAUGGACGUUACUCCUCCUUGUUCCUGCCGUAAUAUGACACAAUAUGUGCUGAACCAAAGUCUGGAAGAAGAAAUGGAUGUGGAUGAGGAUGUAGAGGAGAUGGAUGUGGAUGAGGAUGGAGAGGAGAUGGAUGUGGAUAUGCUGGAUGAGAAUCCACAUAAUGACAUUAGAGAGAUCAGUGGAUCCUUCGAGAACCUAACUUUGGAGGAAGAAGAAGAAAUGGAGGUGGAUGCGGAUGGAGAGGAGAUGGAUGUGGAUAUGCAGGAUUAGUCUGGUCCAGUCCAUCCCUGCCUGAGUUUGUGGGACUUCCAGGCUGGAUCCAGGACCAAAAUUUAGUCCUGCCCUGCUGGAGGCCAUCUUCCCUGAAGCGGCACUCCCACACCUACGACCACGGCUCUCUCCCACCAGCCAGGGCCUACUUAAGAGCUGUUUGGAGCUACUCCAGUUGCCAGGCUGUCUCUUGCAGAUUUUCCUCACCUCGCUACAGCUUUUUGGUUUUGUGACUUCUCAAGUCCCCCUGCUUGUAUGGGUCCAGUUUUUUGCCCCUGUUUUACCUGCCUUUUCCUCUGGAUUGUGUUUUUUGCUUUCUCUGGCUGGGUUUCCCUUGUCCCUGUUUUCUUCAGUUUUUCUUCAUUAACGAAGUUCUUUUUUUGUACACUGCCUGCUUCGAGUCUGCUCUUGGGUCCUCACUUCACCUCAGCUCGCCAUUUCUGACAAACUCAGUGUUCUUAUUUUCCAGAAUCAAACCCAUCUGAAUGUUUUGGAAGGAAAAGAAAUCUAUACUUUUAUGGAUUUGGAAGAUAUCCAAUUGUGAAGGGAUUUCCAUAAGUUCAGAACUACCUCGCAAGCAUAAAACAUGUGUUCUGUCGUUUCUAUGUUUGUGGUACAAAUAUAACAAUUUUCUACUUCU